GAGUUUGAUUAUGGCUCAGGAUGAACGCUAGCGGUGCGCCUAACACAUGCAAGUCGAGCGGAGUACUUGAGAAGCUUGCUUUUUAAGUACUUAGCGGCAAACGGGUGCGUAACACGUUGAUACUUCCCCCCAAGUCAGGGAUAGCCUGGAGAAAUCCAGAUUAAUACCGGAUAGUCCCGCAAGGGUAAAGGAGCAAUCCGCUCGGGGAAAGGUCUGCGGCCUAUCAGCUAGUUGGUGAGGUAAUAGCUCACCAAGGCAAUGACGGGUAGCUGGUCUGAGAGGACGGCCAGCCACAAUGGGACUGAGACACGGCCCAUACUCCUACGGGAGGCAGCAGUGAGGAAUCUUCCACAAUGGGCGAAAGCCUGAUGGAGCGACACCGCGUGAAGGAUGAAGCCUUUGUUGGUGUAAACUUCUUUUCUCUCGGAAGAUAAUGACGUACGAGAGGAAUAAGGGCGCA
rnacentral:rRNA from 1 species